rnacentral:rRNA from 1 species
GACGAACGCUGGCGGCGUGCCUAAUACAUGCAAGUAGAACGCUGAAGAAAGGAGCUUGCUUCUUUUGGAUGAGUUGCGAACGGGUGAGUAACGCGUAGGUAACCUGCCUUGUAGCGGGGGAUAACUAUUGGAAACGAUAGCUAAUACCGCAUAACAGCUUUUGACACAUGUUAGAAGCUUGAAAGAUGCAAUUGCAUCACUACGAGAUGGACCUGCGUUGUAUUAGCUAGUAGGUAGGGUAACGGCCUACCUAGGCGACGAUACAUAGCCGACCUGAGAGGGUGAUCGGCCACACUGGGACUGAGACACGGCCCAGACUCCGACGGGAGGCAGCAGUAGGGAAUCUUCGGCAAUGGGGGCAACCCUGACCGAGCAACGCCGCGUGAGUGAAGAAGGUUUUCGGAUCGUAAAGCUCUGUUGUAAGAGAAGAACGUGUGUGAGAGUGGAAAGUUCACACAGUGACGGUAACUUACCAGAAAGGGACGGCUAACUACGUGCCAGCAGCCGCCGUAAAAC